GACGAACGCUGGCGGCGUGCCUAAUACAUGCAAGUCGAACGAACUCUGGUAUUGAUUGGUACUUGCAUCAUGGUUUACAUUUGAGUGAGUGGCGAACUGGUGAGUAACACGUGGGAAACCUGCCCAGAAGCGGGGGGUAACACCUGGAAACAGAUGCUAAUACCGCAUAACAACUUGGACCGCAUGGUCCGAGCUUGAAAGAUGGCUUCGGCUAUCACUUUUGGA
rnacentral:rRNA from 1 species